UCAGUGGUUUUUUACUCUCUACAGAGCAGCAGACUUUGAGAGUCAGGGGAACUCUGGGUUUCAAUCCCGGCUCUGUGGACUUGGACAUUUAGCCUCUGGGAACCUCUGUCUCCUCCACUGCAAAAGGUGGCACCCUGCGGGGUUGUGAGGGCGAGUCAGACACCACUCGUCACUGUCCCUUCACGCACCAGCACUCGCUCGACGUCACUCUUCCUGCUCCGGCGUGUUCAAGGCCCAGGAAACUCAUGAAAGCCACACAGAAACUCAAAAGACAAGAAAUUACAUAUGCUAGCCCAGAGCGGGCAGGACAGAAGGGGACGUCAGCCCCAAGCUGCACCCACAGCUGAGUGGCGGAGCAGGACAGGAGAGCUCUAGCCUUGGCGUGCAGCAGACCCCAGUUUGCAUUCCAGUUCUACCACGAGUUGGCUACAUGACCUUGGGAAGUCGAUGCCACCUCUCGAAGUCACAGUUUCCCCCUUCUUUCAAAUGGACACACUAGUGGCGUCUUGCAGAGUUGUCAUUAGGACCGAAUGAGGUGAUGUGUGUGCAGUGAUGGUGGUCGGAGGAUCCUGGGACAUCAGGACAUGAGCGCUCUGUGACUCCAUGACAAUUGGAUUAAUGUCCUUCAGUGACUCGGCCAGGAUUACACAGGGAGAGCAGACCACCAGGUGAUUUUAGUUUUGUGAAAAGCCGGAAAUUGCAAGGUGCCAAAUCUGGACUAUGAGGGG